CUCACUGCUGAUAGUGGUCUUCUGAUCUUCUUAAUUAUCUUCUUCGUUCUUAUCUUCUCUCGUCCCUCAUUUUAUCUCGUUCUGAUCUUCUUUAGUCCCCUUCGCUCCACCUUCAUUCUCCUCUUCCUCUCAUCUUGCUCGCCCCCUCCCUCCUCUUCACCUCUUUCGACCACCGCCGCCGCCGCCACUUACUAUUGCCGCCAAAGGUUUUCUGGUCAAAAUCGACCUUUAUCCGAAAUUCAACAUAAUUUCGGGGGUUUUUGGUGAAAUUCGAGGUGUUAAUUGAUGUAACAAGAUUCAAGACUUUGAUUUUGGGAUAAUGUUUUUGAUGUAAUUUUUUUUUUUUUUUUUGUAUUGUACCAUAAUAAUUUAAAGUUAGAAUUACAUUAUUGAUUUUAAUUCAUUGUAAUUUUUUUUUUUUUGUAUUGUACAGUAACUGUUAUUGUUGAAUAUAAUGAAAUAUUGCGCUCCUAUUAUAUUGAUUGUGAA